AAAGUAACUUCUUUGUGAUAACAUCAUAUGUCUAAGAUCCAAAAAGAUGGUAUGAAGGAUUUACAUUGCUACCAUUUGUGACGCCCCACACUUUUAUCACUAAAGAUAAAUGUGCGAGAACAUAGAUUAUUAUUUAACAACCAUUAUUUUGCCAAAUAAUAAUCCACCAUCAGAGAUCGCAACAGAGGAAUAGUUAGAGCUACCUUUAAUUCGUCCCUAGGAGUAUUAAGGCCAUCUCUAAUCCAGCUCACUCUUGCAAGGGAUCAAACCUGUACAAAGGGGGUUAUAUAGCAAGGGUGAGCACUUUCGUACUCAGCAAGUCAUUAGUAGCAAAAUGUACACGCAUGAAUAAUAAUAUAUAACUCUAUAUACUACAAUACUAUACCUUACGUAACAUCAUCACCUUCAUUGUCAUCAAAAGUAAAGUAUAUUUCUAUUUUGUAAAAGAGUUUUCAAAAGGAGAUUUAUAAAAGCUAGAGUACACUCGUACAUUGAAUAGAGUUUGUAGCAACUCCCCGUAGACUCCAAUCCAGGAGACAGGCGUGAAUCACGAUUUAAUUUAGCACUGCGCAGGCUUGUAUCACUGUACCCAUAGCUACUCUUAACAUGUUUGAUUGUCGCACUUCACUAGAUACGGCACCAUGCUAAGAGUACAUAACUUUUCCCCUACUUCAAUUUACUACACUCCACGUUUGUGUAGAGCCUAUCAGCUCUCCACACCACCGCGCUACUAUAUGCGCUUGGAAUGCACUUCAUCGGCAUUCAUGGGGUUUAUAUCAUCUCCCAUUCUACUACUACGUACCCAUGUGGAGUAUAAUAAACUUGAUAAGGUACUAGGUCCAGCCCAUCUUAAGACGGAUCUAUGGUUGACACGGUAUAUACGGUUCUCUGAUACGAAUGAUGGGGUGAUUAGUCCUUAUAUUUAUACACCGUAUGUAGGGAGAGCCCUGACCUGCCAUCAUCAUCAAUCAUCUCAUCCCUGAGCUCCCCCUACCCACCAUACUAGUAUCCCGAUGAUCUCCAUCAUCAUCGGCUUGUCAAUCAUAUCAUCAUCGUUCAUAUCAUUAUUCUAGAAAAUAUAUAUUGAUGCAAUACUAGGAGAAAUAUUUUUAUGAAAUAGGUUUUUAAGUUGAAAUAGAAUUAUCUCUAUCAACAUGAUCAAAUGAGAGGGACUUGCCUGAGUUUUCUGUGAUCGAAACUGAAAUAAUAUACUACUGCCAAUUGACACGUUCCAACUCUAGCUUCUUUC
rnacentral:lncRNA from 1 species